UUCCUACGAGGUCUAGGACCCCUGAUCUAUCUAAGCUUCGGGAACUCUCCCAGCCAAUCCCCACGAAGUGACCGCUCCAAGGCUCAGACCUCUGCUUCCGCCCCUUUCCCCACCGAGGGACGCAGAUGCCGGGCCUCCAGCCAACCAACCAACACCCAAAGUACCACAACCCGCGCUGCGCUCCCCGCCCAGCUCGUCCUAGACGGCGCGCCCCCGAAUCCGAGCGUCAGCCCAGCCCCCCAAGUCCCGCCCCAAGUGCCCGACCAGCUGGAAAUCCCGGUCAGUUCCCAAACUCCGAGCUCGCAAUCAGGCCCCUAACUCUGGGCCGGCCUGUACCAAGCGCGCGAUCCCAUACCGGAACCAAAGCCCUGUUCUCUAGGGAACACCCCACCUCGGUCUCGCAGGCCACCCUUUAACAACCCCAGGAAGAAAAAGACAAAUUCCAUAUGUUCUUGGAGGCAAUUCCCAUAUUCCUGUGUCAAGAGUGAUGAGGAAACCGAGGCUCAGAGGGGUGAAGCAACUCACCGAAGAGUGGUAGAUCCAGUUUGAACCCAGGCAUCGGCCCGUCAGCUGGUCCCAAAUUCCUCCCCUUGUCCAUACCUCCGCAGAGUCCAAUGGAACUUAGGCCAUUGGCUGUCUAUCUGGAUAGGUGUGAGAGGGUAGAUGACUGGGGCUAUAAAAACACUGAGAGACCAAGAAUGGGUGUCUUCUGGAACCCAAGACUCAACUUUCAUUGUGUGUUUGGAUGAUUCAGAGAAUAAGCAUUUGAGCCAGCAGUAAGAACAGCUCAGGGUGCUGUAACGGGCUGUGGUCUGGAGUGGCAGAGAAGACCCUAGGGUCUGAGUGGACUCCAAGCUGACUGUGACUCAGUUGGCUGGAGGAAGAGGAGGUUGAGCCUGUAAGGCUAUAGAUAGCAACUGUGCAUAGCGGCCCUGUGAGGUCAUUGCCAGCCUGCUCAGCCCCUGUUUAAAGCACUCUACAGCCUCAGAGGGAUGUAGAAAACCUGGAAAGCACCCAAGACAGCAGGGAUAUGACCAAACUGGAGGGGCUGAAACCAAAAAAAGCCUAUGAAGAAAGAUGAAAGGAAUGGGGAUAAAGCAGGGAGAAGAGAGGGCUGAGUGAUAGCUCUAAGAACCUGGCAGAGAAUUCCAGGGGAGAAAGGAAGCUGCUUUCCUCUAUCUGGGUUAAGGUCUAAGAAAGAAAGAAGGGGCUUACGUUUCAGCAGAGGGAUUAGAGUUAAGCCUUGAGCGGCUCUCUAGGGUGUGAGUCUGUGGGUAGGUAGAGAAGCCCAUGAAAUCCCCUUCCACGGAGGUUGGAGCAGGGCUCGGUGCCACCCUACACCUUCUCAGCUGCUCCCAGCUCACCCUGACACCUUCCCACUCCAAUUCUCACACCCCUGCC